AUUGAACGCUGGCGGCAGGCCUAACACAUGCAAGUCGAGCGGAUGAAGGGAGCUUGCUCCUGGAUUCAGCGGCGGACGGGUGAGUAAUGCCUAGGAAUCUGCCUGGUAGUGGGGGAUAACGUCCGGAAACGGGCGCUAAUACCGCAUACGUCCUGAGGGAGAAAGCGGGGGAUCUUCGGACCUCACGCUAUCAGAUGAGCCUAGGUCGGAUUAGCUAGUUGGUGGGGUAAAGGCCUACCAAGGCGACGAUCCGUAACUGGUCUGAGAGGAUGAUCAGUCACACUGGAACUGAGACACGGUCCAGACUCCUACGGGAGGCAGCAGUGGGGAAUAUUGGACAAUGGGCGAAAGCCUGAUCCAGCCAUGCCGCGUGUGUGAAGAAGGCCUUCGGAUUGUAAAGCACUUUAAGUUGGGAGGAAGGGCAGUAAGUUAAUACCUUGCUGUUUUGACGUUACCAACAGAAUAAGCACCGGCUAACUUCGUG
rnacentral:rRNA from 1 species